rnacentral:lncRNA from 1 species
CCAUGCAUUGAUAACAAACAACAGUGGUUCAUACUUGCAAUUAAUUUCUAAAUUAUUCUCACAACAAACAUUGGAAAUUUAAGCUCACUCAGGCCAUUUAAAUGGCAGUUUUAACUAUGUAAAAUGCUGCAAAACUUUCCAAAUUGCAAAGUAAGACCUCAAACUACAGGAACACUAACUUAACACACUCAAACAACCUUCCACUAUAGCAUGUCUGACAAUCCACUCAUAUGAUAGAUCUCAAUCCUUAUUACAAUGCCGACAUUCUGAAUUUAAACCUCUAUUCUAAAUAGCCAACACAGCCUUAAACUAAUAGCAUGAACAAGCAAACCAACACAUGCAAGAAAAUUAAGUUACUAUAGAGCUGGGGAAUUUACUAACGUAAGAUAACCAAAUCUAGCAGUAAUUACAACAAGAGAUAGUGUUUUCAUUUAAAUUCCAACUCAAGUUUCCAGAUCUUUACACCGAUUCAGUCAGGCUUCAAUUCCAUGACAGUCUCAAAGGCAUACCUGGAAAUUGCAAAGGAAAAAGAAGUGAAGGAUCGGCAGUAAACAGUAGAACAAAAGCACAGCAGUAUCAAUGCAACAGUGACCUCGCAGCAGCUUGAAACCCAGACUUUAAACCCAAAAUCAAACCAUUUCCCAACCCAGGUGCAAAAUGUGAAAAUUUUCAUAGAUUUUAACUAAUGAAGAAGAUCAGAAACCUCUAGCUAAUACGGAAUUUGAUCAGUUCUAUCAAAGAAAACUGCUAGAAAUUAGUGUAGUUUUCAGAAUAUUUCAGCCUUUUUUGUUCUCUCGGAUUUUUUCUCCUUUUUAUUAAAAAAAUCCUUCAAUGCCAAGUAAAGGUACCUUUAUAGGCAAGGCAUUAGGGCAGCCUAAAAGUGUUCAAUUUUGCCCUUCAGUCCUUUUCUAAUUUUGGUUUUUGCUUAGGAAACCUUAGAGUAAAUUUUUAGAGCUUUAAAUCAGUCCCCCUUUCCAGCUUCCUAGAAGGUUCAUAAGUUAGUUACUGAGAUUUCCCUAAGCUAAACUAUCCAAAUUACCCCUUAAUAACCCUCUUUUUACUGUAGGAAACCAAAUAGGUCAUGGGUCAAUUGACCCAAUGGUUAAACCAGGCAUGGGCUAAAAAAAUCGAUUUGAAUUCCUUGGAACGAAUUCUGAAAUGAAUUCAGAGCCCAAACAGCAAAAUGAAUCAAAUCAAAAUGAGCAAAUUAUGGCCAGCAGUAAGGAAGUGACUAAACAAUUCACCAAAAUUAAAACCUAAACUAAAGGGCUAAAUUUAAACUAAAUGGCCAAACACACAAAGUGAACUCAGAAAUUAAUUAAGUUGUUGAAAAACGAAUUAAACAGACCAAGCAAGAAAAAACGUGGAACAAAACUUGGAAAAAAAAGAUUAAAAAGAAACAAAACAGACAAUAAUCAAUCUUAGCUAAAAGCUUGUCCAAAUUUUAAUUUAUGUAAUUGGAAAGAGAGAGAAGAAGAAAGGAUGCUAAGAAAAAAAAAUAAUAAACAAAUGGAAGUAAAGAACUCACUGAUUCAGGCUCGACCUCAAGACUGACCUUCCGAUCUAAAUCUCGAAAUAACGUUAAUGGCUUGUCCUUUGUCAAGAACAAGCGAGUGACGCUAUUUCGUGAUAAAAUCGACCCUAAAACUCAUGUGAAACAUGGAGCAUCAACCUUGCAUGAAUGAAUUCGUCUUUGACUUCAAGGGCUCGAACCCUAGAUUCACAAUUCGAAGAGUUUCAGCCAUAUUCGAGGGGAAUGGAGUAAGGAUUUGGGAAGAGGGGGUUUUGGUAGUUAUGGGGUGUAAUUUUGGUGGUGUUUUGGUAGUGGCGCCUCUGGGUUCGAGGCGGUGGAAAAGGGGGCGGCAGAUUAGGGUUGGGGUUGUCGCUCUGAGAGUGAGUUGAGAGAGAGAGA